ensembl:rRNA 5S_rRNA 5S ribosomal RNA
ACCAGCAGCCAUAUCACCCUGCAACUCACAACUGGCAACCCACUGAAGCUAAGCAGGUGUGAGCCUGUUCAGUACCUGGAUGUGAGACCUCCUGGGAAAAACUAAGGUUGCUGCUGGAA